rnacentral:rRNA from 3 species
UCCCAAGGGUAUGGCUGUUCGCCAUUUAAAGUGGUACGCGAGCUGGGUUUAGAACGUCGUGAGACAGUUCGGUCCCUAUCUGCCGUGGGCGCUGGAGAACUGAGGGGGGCUGCUCCUAGUACGAGAGGACCGGAGUGGACGCAUCACUGGUGUUCGGGUUGUCAUGCCAAUGGCACUGCCCGGUAGCUAAAUGCGGAAGAGAUAAGUGCUGAAAGCAUCUAAGCACGAAACUUGCCCCGAGAUGAGUUCUCCCUGAGACUUUAGGUCUCCUGAAGGAACGUUGAAGACGACGACGUUGAUAGGCCGGGUGUGUAAGCGCAGCGAUGCGUUGAGCUAACCGGUACUAAUGAACCGUGAGGCUUAACCUUACAACGCCGAAG